UCUUAAUUAAGUGUCCAGAUGAUACAUAUUUUACCACGACAAUUUUCAUUUCGUGGCGUGAAUUAUUCGUUAUCACAUAUUACGUUUUACGAUUCAAUAAAUAGUUAAGGGUAUUUAAGAGGAAAAAUGGAUACAAAAUUCGUAAUGUUGGUCCUAAUAAUUGGAAUUUUGACAGUGUCUUCUGUUUACAAUAUCGGUGUUGAGGCGGCCAAAAAAGAAAAAGCGAGCACUACAGCAGCGUACACGUGUGUCCCCGAAGAUCCGGGUUGUGACAACCUGAUUCCGUCUGUGAAAAGAAACCUUUGUGGCGGUUGUGAAAGUAGCUUCAUAUGCUGUUAUCAGUGAGGCAAAACGAUGAUACGAUCCUUUUUCAGCUGUCUAGACGCAUCAACUUCUACUAUAAAAAAGCAACAAUGUUCCGAAUUUGAAAUUCUAAUUUAAUUGAUGAUGAUCUAAGGAAUUUAUUAAAAACAUUUGAAUAAGCA